rnacentral:tRNA from 2 species
GGGCCGGACGCCGUGUUGGUUGCAGGCAGUGGACUCAUAAUCCACCGGAGAAAUCCCGUCGUCGGUUCGAACCCGACCCGGCCCACCA